AUUGAACGCUGGCGGCAGGCCUAACACAUGCAAGUCGAACGGUAGCAGGGCACUUGCUUCUUACUACGGGUGGCGAGGGGAGUACGGCGGCGGAACAUAUCCGUAGUUGGUGUUUAUAGCGGCCAAAACUAGGCAAAAAUACCCUAUAAGCGCAUACGGACAACGGGUGACAUCUGGGGACCUUUCGCCCUCGCGCGAUUGUAUGUGCCGAUGUCGGAUUAGUUAGUUGGUGGGGUAAAGGCCCACCAAGGCGACGAUCCGUAGCUGGUCUGAGAGGUUGAUCAGCCACACUGGAACUGAGACACGGUCCAGACUCCUACGGGAGGCAGCAGUGGGGAAUAUUGGACAAUGGGCGCAAGCCUGAUCCAGCCAUGCCGCGUGUGUGAAGAAGGCCUUCGGGUUGUAAAGCCCUUUUGUUUGGAAAGAAAAGCAGCAGGUUAAUACCUCGCUGUUCUGACGGUACCCAAAGAAUAAGCACCGGCUAACUUCGUG
rnacentral:rRNA from 1 species